UUCCUGCCCUCUCAUUCUCUGGGGAUGAAGCACACUUGUUGGAUGGAUAAGAGGAAGACGGAGGAAUGGAGGAAUAACAACAUGUCGUCAACUCCUUGCAAGACUCUGGCAGUCAAGAUGGAAUUCCACAAGCUGGACCUAGCCUAGGUUAUUGGAAGCGUUUUCUGGCAGGAGUGGACUGUGGAGCUUUACUGAGCCAGCAUUACAAGGGUAGCAGCAGACCUGGGCAGGUGGUAAAGAAUCAACUGUUUUCCAUGGAGGCUGACAUUGGAGGAGCUAGUGGUCCGUUCUACACUCCCAACAAGUUCAAUAUGAUAUCCUGGGAUUUCUGCAAAGACAUAUCUGUGCCACGCUGUUCUAGGGUGGCUCAUGCUAUUUGCCCAGUUUUUGACAAUGCAGUUGGAAGUCAGGGCAAUGACAGAGAUGGGUGAAGGGGAUAACGUAAAGAGUGGAAGGGGGAUGUGAUGUGUCUCUGCCACACACACCCUCCCCACUUUGGUUUUAUUUUUGAGGUGGAGUCUUAUUUAUUUUUGAGACUCUGAGGAGGUAUUGAAUUUGACAUCAAGGUGGUGGGCGGGGAGAGGGAGAGAGAGAAAGUAAGACUGAGAUAUAAAGUAAGAAAUUCAGCUUCCAGCAAAACACAAAAAAAGCCCACCACUUUUGGCUGUGCAGAGCCCGUUCAUUCAGGAGCGUGCUUGAAACCAGGUGUCUUUUCUGUUUUUCUUCACCAAGUGCUGCCCUUUUGAGGCCCUCAGCCCUGAUGCCGCCUCCGUCUUCUGCUUUGCUGUCCCUCCAAGCCUUGUUUGCUACUUGUAACUGACGCAGUGUCCGUGCGUUAUUGGUCAGAGAUGGCUCUGGAUGCGUGAAAUUCUGAAAGAACAUAAUGCUCAUGCUCAGAGCCCUGCCCUGGUGGAAGUGUAACCCGCUAGUAUCAGAUCUCACCGUGGGAGGCAAACCGGAAGCUGAGCCGUUGACUCAGAUCCUGAGGCCUCUGAAGAAUGGGCACAAAGAGCCGCCAUAUUGCAAGCAGCACCCUGAGCUAUUCAGGGCCCAGCGUGGAAGCCAUCACAUUGCCAUACCAGUAUGUUUUCAACCUUUGACAAAAGGUGCUAUUUUAGUCCCAGAACUUGGGAGGCAGAGGCAGGUGGAUCUCUGAGCUCAAGGCCAGCCUGGUCUACAGAGUAGUUCCAGGGACAUCCAGGGCUACACAGAGAAAUUCUGUCAAACGAAAGAAAGAAAGAAAGAAAGAAAGAAAGAAAGAAAGAAAGAAAGAAAGAAAGGAAGGAAGGAAGGAAGGAAGGAAGGAAGGAAGGAAGGAUAAUGAGCCUGUGUUAGAUGUUUGGCUUGUAAUAGACUUUAUUAUCUCAUUAGCUAUCCCCAUGUCAGACAACAGAAAAUGUUUCCGGUGCUGAGGCUACACGAUAAAACAGAAAAGUCCCAGCCCUGAUGGAGAUGAUGACAGAUGUCACAGACCAAAAAAAAAAAGGGGGGGAAGGUGGUGGCAAGAGUUCUGGCAGGGCAAUGGGGGACAACCUCGCCAGGAAUGCAUCCAUGCAGCAUUUCCAUAAAACAGUGCUCCUGCCGUGGUGCCUGGUGGCUGUAAUCCGG
rnacentral:lncRNA from 1 species